rnacentral:rRNA from 1 species
AUAUCAAUAAGCGGAGGAAAAGAAACCAACAGGGAUUGCCCUAGUAACGGCGAGUGAAGCGGCAACAGCUCAAAUUUGAAAUCUGGCCUUGGCCCGAGUUGUAAUUUGCAGAGGAUGCUUCUGGCGCGGCACCUUCCGAGUUCCCUGGAACGGGACGCCACAGAGGGUGAGAGCCCCGUAUGGUCGGAUGCCUAGCCUGUGUGAAGCCCCUUCGACGAGUCGAGUAGUUUGGAAAUGCUGCUCUAAUUGCGGGGUAAACCUCCCGUAAGGCUAAAUACCGGCCAGAGACCGAUAGCGCACAAGUA